rnacentral:lncRNA from 1 species
CGGGCGAGGCCCUGCCCCGAACGUGGGUUCAUCCGCAGAGACAGGGGCCUAGGGGUUUGAAGCAGAAGAACUCCUAGAACUUGCGGGGGCAGAAGAAUCGGAAGACAUUUUUCUUUGGGGAAGAACCUAAAGGACCCUAGAAAAGCAAGAUGAGAGGGGAGGGAGACACCGGAGGUCAACUCAGGAGAAAAUACAAAAGAAGUGAAAGGAGGAGAGGACCCUAGGCGGUAAGAAGAAGAAGGUGGGCACUAACCUAUCUUGCUCUGGAGGCCUGGGAAGCGAGAAACGGAAGGCGCCUAUGGCUCGAGAGGGCGUUCGUUAGAGCGGACUCUCGGGGAGAUGACAGACGCCAGCAAGAAAUCAGAAACGGAGUGGGGCACCUGAAGGGGGAGGACGGGUUUAAAUAGGCCCUGGGAUCCGGUGCCAUAAUGAUCUCGAAUCCCCCCAGGCCAGUCCGCAUCCGACGCGUGUCCCACUCCCCGUGGCAGACGGCUGAAGGCGGCUGGCGGUUGGCAGGGUCAUAAUUGCACCGUACCUAGGCCA